rnacentral:rRNA from 1 species
GAAAUGCGAUACGUAAUGUGAAUUGCAGAAUUCAGUGAAUCAUCGAAUCUUUGAACGCACCUUGCGCCCCUUGGCAUUCCGAGGGGCACACCCGUUUGAGUGUCGUGAAAUUCUCAAGGCCCUUUUCUUUGACCCUUUUUUUUUYCGGUCGAGAAGAGAGGAUUUUGGACUUGGAGGUUUGAUGCUUGCUUUUGGGUCUCAAAAGUGAGCUCCUCUCAAAUGAAUUAGUGGGGUCUGCUUUGCUGGUCCUURACGUGAUAAGAUGUUUUGACGUUUUGGACUUGGCACGGUCUAUUGGACACCUGCUUCCAACUGUCCAUCUUGUGGACAAAUGAUGGUGCUCUGGUCUCCUCUGUCCAUGUUGGCGGGAGGCUGGACCCACAAAGAAAACCUUGACCUCAAAUCGGGUGAGACUACCCGCUGAACUUAA